GGCGUGGGUAACCAACUGUGGGUGGUCAUCCUCACUGUUCUCAAAAAUAUGGCUGUUUGCCAGGAGUGGGAUUGAUAAGCAAGAUUUCAAUUUUCAAAAGCAUAUAUUUGGAAAAUCACGCUCCACACAAUGAGCUUUGAAGUAAUUUUGUCUGAAGAAAUUGAGAUGAGGCUAGGUUUAUGAUAUAUCAUGCUCAGGUUGAAACAAUGAAACACUCUAUACUUUGCAUCUUUAUUUCAAGCCACAAUUUUGUUGUAGAGCUUGCAGUUUUACUCUUUUUCUGCGCUAAAUGAUUAACACUUAACACAUAUACUAAUUAUUAAUCAGUUUAAUAUUAUUAAAGUGUGAAGUCUUUUAUCCGUCCCGGCGUUAACCGUUUAUUUGUCCUUUUCUCGUGUUGUUCAGUAAUCAUCUUUUGCAAUAUUUUACAAUAUCGCUAUCUGCGCAUUCUUUACGGCAACAUUUAUAAUAAAGGGAGCCGCCAUAGAAAACAAGAUGGGCGUACUUCCCAGAAGAUCUUUUGGUUUGUGAUAUUUCAGGUGCUGCUAUGCUGUCGCUUGUCAGCGGUUCUAAAAUGGAA